AGCAUCAUCUUAUAAGAUAAGGUCCAGAUACAUUUCAUUGAUAAGGUCCAGAUACAUUUAAAUUAUUAUUAUUAUUAUUAUUAUUUUCAUCUGUCUUUGCACAACUGCACAUAACAAUACAAUAAAAUUGCAUAACAAAAAACAAUGCAUUGCAAAAGAAGUUAACUUCCAUACUGCUUUUGUCAAUGCAUAAGGUACAGCGAUGGAGAAAUAAUAUGCAAAAAUAUCUUUAUAGAGCACACUUGAGCUCAUUUGUCCUGGAGCAUCAUGACUGUCAGCACAGCAUUGUAGUUGCUCUUUGUUCUUCAGUGGGCUUUGUGUGCGAAUGUGUCACUCACUAAUCAUGGAGAAAAAAGGCCCAUUCCCUCACCUGAAUGGCUACAGGUCACUGUAUCAUUAUGGAAAAACAGAACAGGCACAAGCACCGCUGCUGUUUGUCUCAUGCAAAUUUGUCGUGUAGGAAAGAGGUUGGUGGAUUACGUCAGGUGAAAUCCUCAGCUGCAUCCUGAUCAAGGUAUAAAAAGUCAGUCUGAAGCACAAUAUAGCAAUACUCCUACUUUGCCUUACAGGACAGAAGUUGUACAAGUGAAGAAUGAAUAUCUCUGCUCUGUUGGUGUUUAUUUCUGCUGUCGUGUCUGUUUAUGGGUAUUAUGAACUGCCCUGCUCUGACUGCAAUCAUCCUUGUACUGCUGAUCGCUUGAAAAACGUCACAGAACAAUUAUUCGAGCACAUGAACUUUACCGACUGCAAAGAGAACGAACACUUUUCAAAAAGAGCCAAUCCUACCUGGAAGUGCGAACCAUCACACCCGGUUUUCAACAGACAUCCUGAAACUGUCCAUAAUGCCAUAUGUGGAAAUUGCAAAGUUGGAUUUGAGGCAGUAUCGAUUUUGCAAAAUAUCAACAUGUUAUUCAAAAAGUCCUGCCUGAACAGAAAUAACUCUAAUAAUAACACAAUAUUAUAUGUAAAACCAGUCAAAAUCUCAUUAGGCUGUACGUGUGUAAAGAAAACUCCCUAACAAUAUGUAAAUUAUGCCUGCAUGCACUUCUGAUAAGCUCAGCAAUAUGACCAUCAUGUAUUCUUUUACUUUUUUUUAGUUGUAAAAGCCAAAUAUAAUGAAUAUCUAUAAAAAUCAGUGAUAUUGAAAAAUGCUCUUAAUGUUUUUUACAAUGCAUGUUUGUAAAAACGUUCUCAAAACCAUGUAAUAAUUUGGCUGUGUAUAUAUAAUGAUGCAUUUUUUGUGCUAAAUUACUCUUCUUAUAGAAGUAAAUAAAGCUUGUUCAAAUAAACAAAAUUGUUUAUUUUUUUGUAUGAUAUUCAAAACAGUACAUGAAUUUGACACGAGCUCAUUUAGAUGCCAUACUAUGUCACACAUAGUUAUAUGCAUUAUAGUUCAUCCCAGUGUAUGAAUUCAUAUUUUCUAUUAAGAAACAGAGUUAUGUUUCAUGUAUUUGUUUCAUAUUUUAUAACUGCGUAAUCUAGUUCUGGUCACAAUUAUUGACACCCUUGGUAAAUAUGACCAAAGAAGGCUGUGAAAAUCAUUCCACAGGGUUAUUUUUUAAAUCUUGCAUUCAGGAAAUUCACAAAGAAAUCUAACUUUACAUUGAAGUAAAAAAAAAAAGAAAAAAAAAAAAAAGAAAAGAAAAAUUAAAAAGGGGGAGAUCCACAUUUAUGAAAUAAAUGUUUUCUCCAAUACACACUGGCCACAGUAACUAUCACUCCUUGAAAUCCUUCUAAAUAAAGUAUCUCUGAAAUAUAUUCCCAUUCAUUCUUACAUUUUUUAGCACACCAGGCUCACUAGGAACAUGACAUUUUCUAGCAUAGGCGGAGUUUCACUUUUAUGCUGGGGGGGGGCACCCACUGGCAGACGAGCCACGAACCCUUUUUUUUUUUUUUUGUUCUAUAUAUCAUAUAUUUAUAUAAUAUAUAUUCGACAGUAAAAUACAUAAUAAAUAAAUAAAUAAAUAAAACAUUUUUUCCUGAGGGUACGCACAGAGUUUUUUUUUUUAUUUAUUUUUUUAUGGCGGACCAAAUGAUCAGUGAGAGCAGAACGAAUGUGCCACACGUUUCAAAUUCAACUAAAUGGUAAAAUACAUAUAGGUCCUUCUCAAAAAAUUAGCAUAUUGUGAAAAAGUUCAUUAUUUUCCAUAAUGUAAUGAUACAAAUUAAACU
ensembl:lncRNA